rnacentral:rRNA from 1 species
AUUGAACGCUGGCGGCAGGCCUAACACAUGCAAGUCGAACGGUAACAGGAAGAAGCUUGCUUCUUUGCUGACGAGUGGCGGACGGGUGAGUAAUGUCUGGGAAACUGCCUGAUGGAGGGGGAUAACUACUGGAAACGGUAGCUAAUACCGCAUAACGUCGCAAGACCAAAAAGGGGGACCUUCGGGCCUCUUGCCAUCGGAUGUGCCCAGAUGGGAUUAGCUAGUAGGUGGGGUAACGGCUCACCUAGGCGACGAUCCCUAGCUGGUCUGAGAGGAUGACCAGCCACACUGGAACUGAGACACGGUCCAGACUCCUACGGGAGGCAGCAGUGGGGAAUAUUGCACAAUGGGCGCAAGCCUGAUGCAGCCAUGCCGCGUGUAUGAAGAAGGCCUUCGGGUUGUAAAGUACUUUCAGCGGGGAGGAAGGGAGUAAAGUUAAUACCUUUGCUCAUUGACGUUACCCGCAGAGAAGCACCGGCUAACUCCGUG